UAAACAAUGAAUGAUAUUUUUUCAUUUCAUGUUCUAAUUUUAAUUCACUUUUUUCUAUUUUGUUGUGACAGAGACAGCAUGGCUGAAUAUAUUCACCAUCUCCGCCAGCUUGAUCGGAACAUUGAUAGGCAGACCUCAGAGAGGCCUUCGUGACCCAUGAACCCUUUUGAAGUGUAUGAUGAUGAGUCAUUUCGGACCAGGUACUGGUUUUCCAAAGAGACAGCGCUCUACCUCAUCAACUUGGUGGAUGAAGAGCUGAGGAGGAUGACAGACAGAAACGACCCAAUACCUAUACAGGUAGUGACAGCACUUUGAUUAUAUGCUGUUGGGUCAUUCCAAAAGAUGCAUGGUAAUGAGGCACAACUUUCAGUCUUCUGUAUGCAGAGUCAUCAAAGACGUGUCAGAAGUGUUUGCAAGAAGAAGGAAACAAUUCAUGAAGUUCCCAACAUCAAGAGAAGAAGUAGAAGCAACACAGCAGCAGUUCUACCAAUACUGCAGGUUGCCAGGUUUUCUAGGUGCAAUUGUUAGGACUCAUGUCUACAUCAGGAGUCCUGGUGGAGAUCAAGCCCUGUAUUUUAUUAAUAGGAAGAACAGAUACUCUAUUAAUGAAAUGAAAAUUUUCCCUUUUUUGGAGAUGCUCCCCAUUUACUUUUAAUCCAAUUAAUUAAAUGACCGAUAUGGAAUUGGUUCCCCCCUUUAGUUUCUCUGAACGAAACGUACACCCAUGCAGUACUGUGGUCUGAAACAAUUAGACCGUAUGAUUUGAAAUCUAAUGGUUGAUAUAGUUCCUCCCAAAAACAUUUUUGCAAAAGGUACCAACCACUUUGAAAGGGAAAUCGUCGUCAUCUUCAUCAUCAUCAACAUCAUCACUGAAAUCGUUAUUUGACUGCUUCAUCACCGUCACCACCGACAACAUUGCUGUCAUCAUUAUCAUCACUGACAUCAUUAUCGACUUCAACAUUGUCUUCGUCAAUAACCUUGAAUACUUGUUUUGAUUAUCCAUAUUAAAUCGUCAAUAUU